rnacentral:tRNA from 1 species
GGACCCAUAGCUCAGUUGGUUAGAGCACCGCCUUGAUAAGGCGGGGGUCGUUGGUUCGAGUCCAACUGGGUCCACCA